AAAAAAAUGUAUGGAAAUUUUGUGACCUGUCAAAAAUUACAACCAAUUUUGCAAAACAAAACAAUGGGUUUUCGGAUUUUAAGAACCAAAAAUCUUUAUAAUGAAGAGAGGAUAUACAAGUUCACUUAAUUAAAUAAAAAAUGCUGCCAAUAACAUACUAUAAUGCGGGAAGCAUUUUCCUUGAAGAAAUCUGGGAGACAAAGCAACAAGGUGCUGAUUUGCAGGCAAGUUUUGUGU